AUAGAGAUGUAACAUGAGUGACGGAGAAAUCUUUAUUGUUAUUUGUAUGUUGAAAUCUUCACUUCCAAGGUGAUAGUAUCACGAGAUGGGACUUCA
rnacentral:lncRNA from 13 species